UGGGGAAUCUUGGACAAUGGGCGCAAGCCUGAUCCAGCCAUGCCGCGUGAGUGAAGAAGGUCUUCGGAUUGUAAAGCUCUUUUGCCAGGGACGAUAAUGACGGUACCUGGAGAAUAAGCCCCGGCAAACUUCGUG
rnacentral:rRNA from 1 species